GGUGGCUUCAGGGCCCUUUGGGAGCCUGCCCUUUGUCCGGGGCUGUGGCCUUGGUAUGCGCCCAGCCUGGUCUCUGCUGCCAGACACCGUGUUCAUUGGUAGAAUGUGGAACUGGUCAGAUGGUGAUCCCUAAGGCCACCUCACCUGACCUUCCACCCCAGUUAUCGGUCCGUUUGACCUGAGACUCAGGAUGAAAUGAUUGAACUGCUGGCUGUGGUAUGUGCAGGUAACAUUUACACUCCCAUCUGCAAGCUGUCGUGCAGACUUGGAGGGGAAGCCACCCAGGCACAGAGCAGGGCAUCUGUAUUCUUCAUCCAUAUGAAGAAGCGAGGAAGUGUGAAGGUUAAUUUUCUUGAGCAGCCAUGCCAACGUUGUGCAGGCAUCACAGAGGGUUUGAGGAUUUAGAAAUCGUUGUAAGUCCAUGUUUAUUUUAAUCUAUAAUAGUCAGAGUUUUCAUUGGCUUUGAUUCUAAUUUAUUUAACCUUCAUCUUUCUAGAAUGAAUAAUCACUUUAAAAACCAUUUUCUACUGAAAAGAGGCACUGCAUGGCCCCUCUCCUCAGCUCUGCCUGGCUCCAUCAUUCCAGUUAUCUUUAAUUGUACCUUGCUCUCUGAUGUCUACUUGCAGUCUUAGGCCAGCUAACAAAUGUCACUGCUCUGGGCCAUUGAUCGAGGUAAUGGUUUCCAAAUGUUUACUCCUUUAAACUUUAUCUCAUCUCUCUCAGGCUUUAAGGUUUGACCCUAAUAUAAAUUUCCUAAGAAUUUGAAAAUCAGUUCAUGCCCAUCCUCCCAGUUUUAAAUUUUAAAAAUCACAUCCUUAUUUCUUGUGUGUUUUUAAAUUUAAUUAAAAAUUUUUAUUAGAGGAUAAUUGCUUUACAAUGUUGUGGAGGUCUCUGAUGUACAUCAGUGCAAAUCAAUUAUCAUCAUAUUUAUAUGCCCUUCCCUCUUA
rnacentral:lncRNA from 1 species